rnacentral:rRNA from 1 species
UUUAACUGAGCGUUCAGUUACUUGACGUAGACCCGAAACCGGGCGACCUACCCAUGAGCAGGAUGAAGCGAAAGUAAAAUUUCGUGGAGGUCCGAACCCACGAGCGUUGAAAAGCUCGGGGAUGACUGGUGGGUAGCGGUGAAAUUCCAAUCGAGCCCGGAGAUAGCUGGUUCUCCCCGAAAUAGCUUUAGGGCUAGCCUCAAGGUGAGAGA